CUCCACUGAUGAAGGAUCUCCAAUAU
rnacentral:piRNA from 1 species